GAGGAAAUAUUGGUCAAUGGGCGAGAGCCUGAACCAGCCAAGUAGCGUGAAGGAUGAAGGCUCUAUGGGUCGUAAACUUCUUUUAUAUGGGAAUAAAGUUUUCCACGUGUGGAAUUUUGUAUGUACCAUAUGAAUAAGGAUCGGCUAACUCC
rnacentral:rRNA from 1 species